rnacentral:rRNA from 1 species
UUUGAAAUCUGGCCCUUACGGGGUCCGAGUUGUAAUCUGUAGAGGAUGCUUUUGGCGACGCGCCUUCCGAGUCCCCUGGAACGGGGCGCCAGAGAGGGUGAGAGCCCCGUAUGGUUGGACGCCGAACCUCUGUAAAGCUCCUUCGACGAGUCGAGUAGUUUGGGAAUGCUGCUCAAAAUGGGAGGUAAAUUUCUUCUAAAGCUAAAUACCGGCCAGAGACCGAUAGCGCACAAGUAGAGUGAUCGAAAGAUGAAAAGCACUUUGAAAAGAGGGUUAAAUAGCACGUGAAAUUGCUGAAAGGGAAGCGCUUGUGACCAGACUUGCGCCCGGUUGAUCAUCCAGCGUUCUCGCUGGUGCACUCUGCCGGGCUCAGGCCAGCAUCGGCUCUCCCAGGGGGAUAAAGGUCGCGGGAACGUAGCUCUCUCCGGGGAGUGUUAUAGCCCGUGGCGGAAUGCCCUUAGGGGGGGCCGAGGCCCGCGUUCGCAAGGAUGCUGGCGUAAUGGUCACCAGCGACCCGUCUUGAAACACGGACCAAGGAGUCAAGCAUUAGGGCGAGUCUUUGGGUGCAAAACCCGCAGGCGCAAUGAAAGUGAACGGAGGUGAGAGCUUCGGCGCAUCAUCGACCGAUCCUGAUGUUCUCGGAUGGAUUUGAGUAAGAGCCUUACCGCUUGGACCCGAAAGAUGGUGAACUAUGCCUGAAUAGGGUGAAGCCAGAGGAAACUCUGGUGGAGGCUCGCAGCGGUUCUGACGUGCAAAUCGAUCGUCAAAUUUGGGCAUGGGGGGCGAAAGACUAAUCGAACCAUUACUACUA